rnacentral:rRNA from 1 species
UGAUAGGCUGGGUGUGGAAGUGCAGUAAUGCAUUAAGCUAACCAGUACUAAUUGCCCGUAAGGCUUGUCCCUAUAACUUUGGUCAGUUAUA